rfam:Oryza barthii chromosome 2, whole genome shotgun sequence.
CCACUGGACGAGGAAGAACUAGUGUCUUACAUCCUCGCCGGGCUCGACUUCGACUACAACCCAGUCGUGUCGUCUGUCGCGGCACGCGUCGAGCCCAUUACUGUGAGCGAGCUAUAUGCUCAGGUUCAUGGUUUUGAGC